ACACUGACGUCGCGAUGCAUAUCAAUAAGCGGAGGAAAAGAAACUAACUAGGAUUCCCUCAGUAACGGCGAGUGAAGCGGGAAGAGCUCAAAUUUGAAAUCUUCAAGGUUCUACCUUGACGAAUUGUAGUUUAUAGAAGUGUUUUCUGUUGGAGUUUUGGUAAAAGUUCUUUGGAAUAGGACAUCAUAGAGGGUGAGAAUCCCGUAUUUGACCAUUAUUUCCAGCUUUGUGAUACACUUUCAAGGAGCCGGAUUGUUUGGGAAUGCAGUCCAAAAUGGGUGGUAAAUUUCAUCUAAAGCUAAAUACUGGCGAGAGACCGAUAGCGAACAAGUACCGUGAGGGAAAGAUGAAAAGAACUUUGAAAAGAGAGUUAAACAGUACGUGAAAUUGUCAAAAGGGAAGCGUUUGACACCAGUGUUGUUUUCUCGAAAAUCAAUUAAAAAUGGCAGGAUUUUGUGUUGUAUUGACUUUAUCAGCUUUCUGCACUUUUUUCUUGUCUUUUUUAAUGCACUUUUCGUUUAACAAGUCAACAUCAAUUUCUUUUGCUGUAAAAGGGUCAUUGGAAGGUGGCUUUCUUUUCGGAGAAAGUGUUUAUAGCCUUUGGCCUCUGCAGUCGGAGAGAUUGAGGUCUGCAGCGUAGAUCCUUCGGGGUUAGAUAUAUUUGUGCUAAGUUAUAGUUUUUCAUAGACAACAUGUUGACUAUGAUUAAUCAUGUAGCUUACUCGCUUAUGCUAUUUUACCUACGCUUAGGAUGUUGACGCGCGUGUGUGCGUG
rnacentral:rRNA from 1 species